CUUGCUCCGCUGACGAGUGGCGAACGGGUGAGUAAUAUAUCGGAACGUACCCAAGAGUGGGGGAUAACGUAGCGAAAGUUACGCUAAUACCGCAUACGAUCCAAGGAUGAAAGCAGGGGACCUUCGGGCCUUGUGCUCCUGGAGCGGCCGAUAUCUGAUUAGCUAGUUGGUGAGGUAAAGGCUCACCAAGGCGACGAUCAGUAGCUGGUCUGAGAGGACGACCAGCCACACUGGAACUGAGACACGGUCCAGACUCCUACGGGAGGCAGCAGUGGGGAAUUUUGGACAAUGGGCGCAAGCCUGAUCCAGCAAUGCCGCGUGAGUGAAGAAGGCCUUCGGGUUGUAAAGCUCUUUUGUCAGGGAAGAAACGGUGGGGGCUAAUAUCCUCGACUAAUGACGGUACCUGAAGAAUAAGCACCGGCUAACUACGUGCCAGCAGCCGCGGUAAUACGUAGGGUGCAAGCGUUAAUCGGAAUUACUGGGCGUAAAGCGUGCGCAGGCGGUUUUGUAAGUCUGACGUGAAAUCCCCGGGCUCAACCUGGGAAUUGCGUUGGAGACUGCAAGGCUAGAAUCUGGCAGAGGGGGGUAGAAUUCCACGUGUAGCAGUGAAAUGCGUAGAGAUGUGGAGGAACACCGAUGGCGAAGGCAGCCCCCUGGGUCAAGAUUGACGCUCAUGCACGAAAGCGUGGGGAGCAAACAGGAUUAGAUACCCUGGUAGUCCACGCCCUAAACGAUGUCUACUAGUUGUCGGGUUUUAAUUAACUUGGUAACGCAGCUAACGCGUGAAGUAGACCGCCUGGGGAGUACGGUCGCAAGAUUAAAACUCAAAGGAAUUGACGGGGACCCGCACAAGCGGUGGAUGAUGUGGAUUAAUUCGAUGCAACGCGAAAAACCUUACCUACCCUUGACAUGUA
rnacentral:rRNA from 1 species